GACAGAGGCCCCAAGCGUUAGGCGGAAUCACUGGGCUUAAAGCGUGUGUAGGCGGAUCGUUAAGUGUCUUGUGAAAUCCCACGGCUCACCCGUGGAACUGCUGGGCAUACUGGCGAUCUUGGGCCAACUAGGGGCAGCCGGAACAAGCGGUGGAGCGGUGAAAUGCGUAGAUAUCAAGAGGAACACCUGAGGUGAAGACGGGUUGCUGGGCUGACACUGACGCUGAGGCGCGAAAGCCAGGGGAGCAAACGGG
rnacentral:rRNA from 1 species